GGGUGAUUAGCUCAGUUGGUUAGAGCACCUGCUCGACACGCAGGGGGUCAAUGGUUCAAAUCCGUUAUCGCCCA
rnacentral:tRNA from 1 species